GACGUGCACGUCCUGCCUCUGACAAUGAAAACUAUUUGACCUCCUCCCAACUGACGAGCAACAGGUUUGCAUUAAAAACAAGUGCUGGCAGGAGUCCCGCAUACCUGCAUGCAGGUGUCUGACAGGGCAGGACCGGAUCAUUGUGGGGACACGAGCUUGACGCCGUGAAGAUGGAGGCCGGGUCCUGGUUCUGUGCGGCAGCUGCGGCUCUUUUCACCAUCGUCUUGCUGCACAAACUGAGACGCCGCUUGGAUGCUGGAUUGUGGCUCAUGGCACCACUCGGGACCUCUGUGUGUUUGGCUGUGGCUCCGGCUUGGUAUGGAGCCAUUCUCCUGGGCUGCAGCCUCGCUCUGGUCUGGGACACUAUGAGGACAUUGGAGCUGUUGCCGGUGCAGAACAGAACCGUGUUAAUUACAGGCUGCGACUCUGGGUUCGGUCACAAACUGGCCAAGCUGCUCAGCGAGAUGGGAGCACAGGUGUUCGCAGGGGUGCUGGACCUUAAUGGAGCUGGAGCUCAGCAGCUCAGAGAGCAUGGGUCCGAAGGCCUGCAGGUCCUGCAGCUGGAUGUCACCGACCGGUCCCAGGUCCAAAUGGCCCACCAGCACAUCUGUGCUCAGGUGGGAGACGCAGGUCUGUGGGCUCUGGUGAAUAACGCAGGGAUCCUUCACUGCCCUGUGGACGUGGAGCUCCACCCCAUGUCUGUGUACCGGCGCUGCAUGGAGGUCAACUUCCUGGCAGCCGUCAACAUGUGUCAGGUCUUUCUCCCUCUGCUCAGGAGGUCCAGAGGCCGCGUUGUUAACGUCUGCAGCUUGGCAGGCGACGUGCCGAUACCCACGUACGCUGCGUAUGGCGCGUCAAAGGCCGCUCUCAGCAUCUUCUCCAAAGUGAUGAGGUUGGAGCUGUCAGCGUGGGGAGUCCGAGUGGCCGUGGUCCAACCGACGGGCUUCAGGACAAACAUCUUCGGAAACAGUGACAACUUAAAUCGCUACAGAGACGAGAUCCUCUCUGGGAUUUCGUCUGAGGCCAGAGAGGACUACGGGGAGCCCUACAUCUCAUCCCUCCUGGGCCGUCUGUCCCAGAUGCCGGGGCUGGUGUCAGAGGACCUGGGGCCCGUGGUGGAUGACAUGUGCCACGCUCUGCUGGCCGUGCGGCCCAGGGCCGUGUACGGCCCCGGAGCGCUGGGGUGGCUGCUGCCCUUCCUGCACCGCUGGUGCCCCACGGCCGCGUUCGACGCCAUCAUCAGCAAAGCCUUCAAACAUGACUGUGAACCAGCGGGACUCAGGAGAACCCCCUGAUUGAUUGGCAGCAUCUUUGCCCCCUCCACGGCUGAAUAUUAAAUUAUUAAAGGUCUGAGGGUUUGAUUUUAAUGACUGUACAUAUGUAUUUUUGUGUCAACAGCAGCUAAGCAUCAGAUAGAUGACAGAGGCACGAUUACGGAGCAACUGCUUUAAUCGUCUUCUGUGCUCACAACUUCGCAUUAAUAAAAAUCUGAACGCAUGACAUCCGCUCAGCCUUAAAACACAGUUCAUGCUGCUUCAGCAAACACAGCAAUUUAAAAAGUCUCUUUAGUCCUUUACAUAAAAAUAAACAUCAUUCUCAGUCUUCACUCAUGAGGUUUCAGAAAAACUCUCUUUGAGUUCGUGUCAUUGUGGUUCAGGUCUUCCAUCGCUGCUCUCUCACGUUUCUUUGCAAACUUCUUCCUCAUGCUUCCAACUAAACUCUCGUACCUGAAAUGCAGGAAAAGCAGCUUGAAGGACAUGAAGUAAACAAAUCAGAACCAACAGGGACCCAGAGGAUCCACAUGUACCAACCUCAGAGCCAUUUCCUCGUCCGUGACGUCCGUCUGCAUUCGGCCAAUCUGCUGCUCCUCUUCAUUUGCUCCUUCCUCUUUGGGGUUGAUCAGAACCAUCAGCUUCUGUUGCAUCAACAGGUGCGAGUGUUUACAUUAGGCUCAGUGUGUGUUGUGUAGGUGAAGCCGUGUACUCAUGUCAGUGGUGACAAGCAGUUUAAUUAUUGAUACUUGACUAGCAAACACACAAACCACAAAGCUCAGAUUUCAGGAACUUUACAUUAAAAUAAAUCUUCCGGUAAUAAGUUCUCAGAUAAACUUGAAACCAACCUCCACCUCUGGGUUGAAACCUUUGAAGGAAAUGCGGCCGUAGUUCAGGUUCUCACAGGGAACAAAACUCGGCUCUUCUAUGAUCAGGUUCCUGGGAGAAGCCGGGGAAGUUUAAGCAGUAGAACACCAGACAGACAAAAAUACGCCCGACUUAUUACCGAACAGUAAGUACUUUGUGCACAUGCUUCUUAUUGUACAUCGUUCUGAGCUCGGAUGCUAAGGGUUCGGGGUUCGGAACCUACUCGUUGGCCUUCAGCUCAGGCAGGUCCAGGUGCCAGUGUUCAUCACUGAUGAUUCUUCUCUCCUCGUCUUCCAGUUGCUUCUUGGUCUCCGCGUCCAGGCCCCUCUGCAUGAACUGAAGACACGAGACAUUUACAAGAACCGGGUUCGUCUUUGGGCUCAGGCUGAACCAGACCCAGGGCAACUGCUCGAAUUGGUGCGGGAGGCUGGGACUGGGAUGAAGCUGGUCCUCAGACAAACUCCUGGACCACCAGCUCCUUGAGAGAGUGAUGAGAUGCCUCCCCCCUCUCAGCGUCCCUCAGCACUGUCAGCUCCUCCUGUAAUUGGGCCACAGGACGACCCAGCUGGUAACCCAGGUCCACCAACAAGUCUAGCAGCGCUGCUCGGUAGCGGUUUAACCCAUACCGUCGGACUGCAGGCAGCGCUUUGUGAGCGGCAGCAAACGCCUGCUCUGGCUCGUCCAGGUCCCGGUGGCAGGUGGCGAGGGCCGACAGGGUGGGUACGGUCAGGGUGGGGUUCUGCCACGGCAGGAACUUCUCCUGGAUCUCUAGAACCACUUGCAGCUGAUCCAAGGCCAGUUUGAACUGCCCCGCUCUCACCAAGCCGUGCGCCUGCCUCUGCUCCGGCUCGGUGAGGAACCGCGCCAAGUGGGGGGAGUGCCGGAUGCAGCGCACAGCGUUCAGCUUGGCCAGGUAGGCCUGCAACGCCAGACGGCGCUCAGAGAUGACGUCAGCGCUGAGGUUCCUGGUCAGGUGCUUGCGUGGGAGAACCAGCUCCUCCAGCUCCUCUCGGAACUCAUCCAGCAGACGCUGGUGGAAACGAAAGAAGUCGCGGUAGCGGCGCUCCACGGAAACACGGCGGGAUUCGAAGCUGCCUGAGCACAUGACCACGACGUCGUACACCUGGAGAAACGGGAAGCAGCGGACGUCACGGGGAGUCAGAGACCAGUGACUGUGGAGUUAGGAUCCAUCUAAUUGGCUGCUUUGCUCCUUUAUGCUAACAAUAUUUAGAUCAGACAUUACUUUUACUGCACUAGAGACUUUUCAUAAGGUUCUCCUGCAGCUCCUUGGUGGUUAAACUGGAACAACUGGGAGCUUCAGCUGCGCGCGCACACACAUAGUCUAAGUUUCAGGUUAUGAUGCCUUUCAGGCUGGUGGAUAUUGGAUAGUCCCUGUUUGUGGUGUCAGUAUAACGCCUAAACCCUGUAGAUCUGCAGGACAAGUCCCCUGACAGAGUGAGCUUCCGUGUAAACGACCACCCGGUUUGCGCAGGGUGGGCGUGGCUGCUCAUUGGGCGUCUGCUCAGCUAGGCACACUAUGGAGCAUGUACAGUCAUGGCCAAAACUUUGGCACCCCAGAAAUAUUUCCAGCCCAUAUUUGGAGUUUUGUGUGACAUUAGAUUACAUGUCAAAUUAGUUUUUUCUAUUUUUAUUGUUUUGUUCCAAUACACACAAGGGAAUAAACGUGUAUAGCAAAACAUGUGUUAAGAAAUAUUUGAUUUUCUAGAACUAUUUCUGGGGUGCCAACAAUUUUGGCCAUGAUUUAUGUUAGCGAAACAUUGUUAGAAAGGUUCUCGUCAUGUAAGUCUUGGUUCAAUGUUUAGUUUCAUAUUGUUUGCGCAGCAGCUAUCUGGUUGCUUUACUUAAACAAUGUCUGUCCCUCCAUUGUGGGAGACAGAGCAGUAAGCUGUUAGCUGUUGCUCCCUUGGUGAGCAGAGUGAGGUACGUGCUAAUUCUGCAGUGUUUAACAUGCUGUAAUAUGGAUUUAAUUUCAUGUUUUAGAUUCACGUUGUCAGUGGGCCCAACAAUGCACAUUGUGCAAUAGUUUCUCUGAUGUUUAUUUUAGUCGAUGGUAAGAUUUCCUACUCUCGGGUCGGUCGGUAUCUUCUGUAACUUCGAAUACAAAGAGAAAUGAAUUAUCGCUGCCUCCUUGUUGCCUCAGCACCUCACCUGUAGCUCAAUGUCUUCUCUGGCUUUAAAGUGUUCUAGCCGAAGCUCUGGGACAGUGACAGUAGAAAAUCAUGAUCCAGUGCUGUACAGUCUUUAUCGGCUGAUUUGUCUCCCCCACACAUGUUUACUGGACUGUCUAAGGAUGUCAGCAAAAAUAAAACCUUCCUGCACCCCUCAA